rnacentral:rRNA from 1 species
CCUACGGGAGGCAGCAGUGAGGAAUAUUGGUCAAUGGCCGCAAGCCUGAACCAGCCAAGUCGCGUGAAGGAUGAAGGCCCUAUGGUUUGUAAACUUCUUUUAUAGGGGAAUAAAGGUAUGCACGUGUGCCUGUUUGCAUGUACCUUAUGAAUAAGGAUCGGCUAACUCCGUGCCAGCAGCCGCGGUAAUACGGAGGAUCCGAGCGUUAUCCGGAUUUAUUGGGUUUAAAGGGUGCGUAGAUGGUUUGUUAAGUCAGCUGUGAAAGUUUGCGGCUCAACCGUAAAAUUGCAGUUGAUACUGGCAGUCUUGAGUACAGUUGAGGUAGGCGGAAUGCGUGGUGUAGCGGUGAAAUGCUUAGAUAUCACGAAGAACUCCGAUUGCGAAGGCAGCUUACUAAAC